AUACGAGGGGUGCAAGCGUUAAUCGGAAUUACUGGGCGUAAAGCGGUCGUAGGCGGUUUGUUAAGCAAGAUGUGAAAGCCCUGGGCUCAACCUGGGAACUGCAUUUUGAACUGGCAAGCUAGAAUACUGUAGAGGGUGGUGGAAUUUCCAGUGUAGCGGUGAAAUGCGUAGAGAUUGGAAGGAACAUCAGUGGCGAAGGCGGCCACCUGGACAGAUAUUGACGCUGAGGAACGAAAGCGUGGGGAGCGAACAGGAUUAGAUACCCUAGUAGUCC
rnacentral:rRNA from 1 species